rnacentral:rRNA from 1 species
AUUGAACGCUGGCGGCAUGCCUUACACAUGCAAGUCGAACGGUAACGGGCCUUCGGGUGCCGACGAGUGGCGAACGGGUGAGUAAUGCAUCGGAACGUACCCAUCAGUGGGGGAUAACUCUCCGAAAGGAGGGCUAAUACCGCAUAUUCUGUGCGCAGGAGAGCGGGGGACCGCAAGGCCUCGCGCUGAUGGAGCGGCCGAUGUCAGAUUAGCUAGUUGGUGGGGUAAAGGCCUACCAAGGCGACGAUCUGUAGCGGGUCUGAGAGGAUGAUCCGCCACACUGGGACUGAGACACGGCCCAGACUCCUACGGGAGGCAGCAGUGGGGAAUUUUGGACAAUGGGGGCAACCCUGAUCCAGCCAUGCCGCGUGAGUGAAGAAGGCCUUCGGGUUGUAAAGCUCUUUCGGCCGGGAAGAAAUCGCAUCUCCUAAUACGGGGUGUGGAUGACGGUACCGGAAUAAGAAGCACCGGCUAACUACGUGCCAGCAGCCGCCGCCGUAA